GAUGAACGCUGGCGGCGUGCCUAACACAUGCAAGUCGAACGGAGUCCCGCCUUUAAUACCUUCUGGUCAAAGAGGGGAAGACUGAGUGGCGGACGGGUGAGUAUCACGUGAGCAACCUGGCUCUUCGAGGGGGAUAACAGAGAGAAAUUUCUGCUAAUACCGCAUAAGCACACACUGCCGCAUGGCCGAGGGUGAAAAGAGAAGCGCUAUGAGAUGGACCCGCUUCUGAUUAGCGAGGUGGCAGGGUAAGAGCCUAGCAAAGCGACGAACAGUAGCCGAGAGGAGAGGAGGAACGGCCACAAUGGGAAUGAGACACGGACUAAACUGCGACGGGAGGGAGCAGUGGGGGAUAUAGCAGAAGGGAGGGAACCCUGAUGAAGCGACGCGGGGGGAGUGAAGAAGUAGUUCGGUAUGUAAAGCUCUAACAGAAGGGAAGAUAAUGACAGUAACUGAAUAAGAAGCACCGGCUAACUACGUG
rnacentral:rRNA from 1 species